rnacentral:rRNA from 1 species
GAUGAACGCUGGCGGCGUGCCUAAUACAUGCAAGUCGAGCGAACGGACGAGAAGCUUGCUUCGCGGAUGUUAGCGGCGGACGGGUGAGUAACACGUGGAUAACCUACCUGUAAUAGUGGUAUAACUUCGGGAAACGGGCGCUAAUACCGGAGGAUAUUCUGAACCGCAGUGUGGAAUAGAGAAAUACGGUCGUGCGGGCACGUAUAGAUGGAUCUGAGCUGGUUUAGCUAGUUGUGAAGCUAACGGCUUACCAAGGCAACGAUGCAUAGCCGACCUGAGGGGCUGAUCGCCCGCCCUGGAACUUAGACACGGUCCAGACUCCUACGAGAGGCACCAGUCUGGUAUCUUACGCAAUGGGCGAAAGCCUGGCGGAGCGACCCCACGUGAGUGAUGACGGUCUUCCGAUCGUAAAACUCUGUUACUAGGGAAAAACAUCUGUGUAAGUAACUGUGCCCAUCUUGACGGUACCUAGUCAGAAAGCAACGGCUAACUACGUG